UAGAUAAAAUAGAAAGGGACACAAAUAGACUUGUUAAGCAAAAUGUUCUUUAACAACAAUUGAAAAAUCAGCAAUUACACAGAUUUUGACUCCAAAAUUCAAGUAUGAAAAAACUGACUAAUUGAACUCGGAACCGUGAACGUCAUCCUCGAACAGUCACAUCUGAACUAGCGAAACACCAACCAAACUCAAGCAAGAUCCGUGAAUGAGAUCAACAGGGCAGAAACUAAUAUAUAUAUAUCUAAACUAAAGCCAUGGUUUGGAAUUGAGAUUUCAUCUAAACUAAAAUUAACGUAAAAAAGGUACAAUUUCGAACCUUAUCUGAGAAGAAACUCGAAGUUGAGUAGUUAUCAAUCGAAGUGAUCAAAAUAAGCGUUCACAGGCGAAAGAUCGGAGUUGGCGAUGAUUUUAGGGUUUUCUCUUUUUUUUGGGGUAGUUGGCGAUACAGGCGUGGGUUUGGGAAAAAAGAGGGAAAUAUUAG
rnacentral:lncRNA from 1 species